UACGGAGGGUGCGAGCGUUGUCCGGAAUCACUGGGCGUAAAGGGCGCGUAGGCGGCUCAUGAAGGCUGUGGUGAAAGUCCGGGGCUCAACCUCGGAUCGGCCGUGGCGACUCGUGGGCUGGAGCACUGUAGAGGCGGGUGGAAUUCCGGGUGUAGCGGUGGAAUGCGUAGAGAUCCGGAAGAACACCGGUGGCGAAGGCGGUCUGCUGGGCAGUUGCUGACACUGAUGCGCGACAGCGUGGGGAGCAAACAGG
rnacentral:rRNA from 1 species